AUUAAAAAAAAAAGUUUCAAAAAUACAAAUGCCCCACCUAUUUUACACAGAUUACAUACCUACACAAACACUCAAUGCACAAACACACACUACAUUCAUUAUAUACAAACACUACACAAACACACUGCAUUCACUAUAUACACAUUACACAGAAACACACACUGCAUCCACUAUACACACACUGCAUUCACUGUACACACACUACACAAACACACUGCAUUCAUUAUAUACACACUACACAAACACUCACUGCAUUCACUAUACACACACUACACAAACACACUCUGCCUUCAUUAUAUACACACUACACAAACACACACUCUGCAUUCAUUAUAUACACACUACACAAACACACACUCUGCAUUCAUUAUAUACACACUACACAAACACAUUGCAUUCACUAUACACACGCUACACAAACACACACACUACACAAACACACUGCAUUCACUGUACACACAAACACACUGCAUUCACUAUACACACGCUACACAAACACACGCCCUACACAAACACUGCAUUCACUAUACUCACACUACACAAACACACACUGCAUUCACUGUACACACAAACACAAACACACUGCAUUCACUAUACACACACUACACAAAGACACUGCAUUCACUAUACACACAGUACAGUAAACACGCACUCUGCAUUCUAUAUACACACUACACAGACAAUGCAUCCACUAUACACACACUACACAAAC